AUGUCAGAGGCGCGAAACCAAUCAGUACCGCAGAGGAGGCUCUCAAAAGCUCCCGAGGCUGCGGGAAAGGUGUUUUCGCCGAAGCGGAACCGUGUUUGGGCGCGGCUCUGCUGGGCGCACGGAGAACAUCCCUGCGACUGUCGCAAAAUUUGCGGAGUGCUGC
rnacentral:ncRNA from 1 species